AAAACGUUUGACAACCGUUAGCGGUGGAUCACUCGGUUCGUGUAUCG
rnacentral:rRNA from 1 species